rnacentral:lncRNA from 1 species
UAUUGUGGGCAAAUAGACAAACGAGGCUUAAAAUGCUGAUCACCCUCAUCCUAGGGAAGAUCAAGCAAAUCAUAAUGGUGCCAUAGUCUAUAGCAUAUUUAAAAUCUUGAGGUUGAAUCCUCUUUUCAUUUGUGGUCUUGAUCCAAUGGUCACCGAAGAUUGGAUUAUGAAAAUAAGAAAUAUUACUAUCUUGGAUGUUAUUGAUGAAUAGAAGGAACCAUUAGCAGCAUUUAUGUUCACCGAUGAAGCUACACACUAGUGGAGAUUGAAGAAAUAGACUUUACCUACUCUUACCACUUGGGAUCAAUUUCUGGAUACCUUUCACUGGACCUUUUUCCUAGUCUUUUUUAGAGAAAAGAAAGAAGAAGAAUUUUUGGACCUUU